AGGAUGGCUUCCGUCUCGAUCUCAUCCCACGGCAGGAAGCGGUUGUUCAGGCUGUUCUUCUCUGUGCGGACAACCAUGAUCGGGACACCAAUGUCUGGCCAUAAGAGAUCCUCAGAGGGAAGCUUGGGAGAGUUCCACACUACCACAACUUUAUUUAAGUACGGGAGACCAUUGAGCCUUUCUAGGGAGUUCAUCAACACUUCCUC
rnacentral:lncRNA from 1 species